CAGGCUUUAUUUUUCUUGAGUGCAACACACACAGGCACAUGUUUUUAAAAACAAAUAAUGUGAUCAUACUAUACACGCUUUUUUAAAAGCAGAAAUGUGAGCAUACGAUACACGCUUUUUUAUAGCUGACUUUAAAAAACUUAAACAAUAGGUUGUUUACGUCUUUCUGUUAAGCUUGGACUGGGGACAUUUUUAAAUGGCCCCAUUGUAUUUGGACGUAUGUGCGUUUCCCAUCGCUUGUUAAAUCACUCCUCUGUUGUUGGACGUCCAGGAUGUUUCCAAUUAUUCACUGUUAUAUUAUGGACAACACUGCCACGAUCAUCCCUAAGUGAGUUAUAUUUAAAGGCUUACAACAGCGCCUGGCACGGGGUAGGUGCUGUAAAGUAUUUGGACUAAAGUCAAAUCUGUGCACACACCAUCCUUGUGUUGUUUCCCCAGGAUCAAUUCCAGCAGGAGGACGGCUGGGCUGAGGGGGCACCUCCCACGUCAGGAAGGUUGUCCCCGUGGCCUGCCUCCGACUGAGGAGGAGCCGCCCUCGGGGACGGGCGUGGACCCCGAGCCGCCGGCAUGGGAACCCUCUUUGCUUCGGGGCAACACGGGAGGGGUCUGGAUCUCCGACCCACCGUUCCGGGUCUGAAUCCAGCUCCGGGACCUGACAGGGAUGUGAUUGUGGGGCAGCCGCAUGGCCUCUUGGCGCUCCAGCCUCCUGCCCUGUGACAUAGAGGCAGCGAUGGUUGGUAACCAGGGACAGUGGGCGGCUCCGUCACACGAGUCAGGACAUGUGACCCUUGGAGGGUUGCUGCAUCACCCUGGACGUUUGGCCAGACGGGUGGCCAUGGUUUUAAUCGGGACAAUUUUUUGCUUGCUCCAACUUAUGAGGGUGGCCAGAUCUAGACAGACAGCAGAAGUAACCCGAAGUCCUGGCCUGCCCUGUGCCAUCCUCUGACAUGUUAUCAUUGGCGUUCACUCUGUGGGCUCCUCUCGGGGUGAUGCCUGCCGGUCUCAGUUUUGGGGUGAAGUGACAUUUGGCCUUGACUAGAAGAGGCAGGUUGUGGGGGGCAGGCAGGGUGCAGGCGAGGGAACUGAGGCAGAGCGGGCUGGGAGCAGAGGGGAUGUAGGGUCCUCCCAGGCUGACCCCCAGAACCUGGGCGUGCAGGCCUGCUCUGGGGUCCAGGCUCCGAUGCAGUCUCAGCGCAGGCCCUGGUGGCCGGAGACAGGGCAGGGCAGUAGCUUCAGGCCACCCGCACCGGCAGCCCUCAAGACUGCCUUGAUGGAAUCGGACCCAGAUGCACCCUAAGCGGCCUCCUGCUUGGAAACCCUAUCAGACCCUGCGUUUUCUACAGAGCGGCUAAGUCACACGGCUUUUCCGGACGGUGAUUAUGGACUGCAUGUGGGAUUGACGGGCCAGGUGAGCUCUCGUGCUUGUCCUUCACACAGGAAAGCUGCUGGUCUCCUGUGUCUGGUUCCCGUCUGCAUUUUCAGUCCUCAGUGUUGAGCGUGUGCAAAUCCCUUCUAUCACCUGACAUUUAAAAUAGACACCCUCAGAGUGGAAGUUCCUUCCCAUUAUUGACCCGCUCACUCUGCAAUCUUGAAGGGGGUUCUCCAAGCAGGAGGGAAAGCCGGCCAGAACGCGGUCCUGGAGCAGCCAGGAAGCCGAGGGGGCGGUGAGGGCAGGGAUGGCCCAGCCGUGGCCUCUGCCGCUCGCUGGUUUUCACGUGAGACUGCCGCCGGGCCAACCCGGAGCCCAGGCCGCCUCUGCAUCUGAAUAGAGCCAAGCUGCCGCCGGGAUCUCACCUGCGUGGCCGUGCAGAGCUGCGGGCCCCUUCCCCACCGAGAAGCGUCUGUUCGCGCCCUGCAGGGAGCUGGGCUGGGGGCUCAGAGGAUGCCUCUGUGCUUGGCCUUAAUGUGCACAGGGAGCGCUUGGGCGAUCCUGGCUCAAGGGCUCUGCUUGGAAACAGCUCGGGGAAACGGUUCCUCCCCCUGGAUGUAGUCACAGCGUGGUAAAUUCCAUCUGAAAAAUAAAAGCCGAGCUCUUUGCUGAGUCACAGAACCUCGGAGCUGAUUUGCGCAAAAGCCGGACUGAGUCUUGGACGAGCCGGGAAAGAUUCUCACAGUCGAGCAGAGCGAUGGGAGAGAGGAGCAGACGGUGAGCUUUGGAAUGUGAAUGAGAAGAUGUAGUGUGACAGCAGCCCGGGUGACACCUGCUGGGAGCUUGGCGUGGACACCCCAGCCACCCCCAGCUCAGCCCAGCCCAGCCGGAGCACCCUACCCCUGGGUAUCCCCCCGGCCAUCCAGCCUCACCAUGUCCAAGAGGGGCAUGAGCAGCCGGGCCAAGGGGGACAAGGCAGAGGCCCUCGCGGCGCUGCAGGCGGCCAACGAGGAUCUUCGAGCCAAGCUCACAGACAUCCAGAUCGAGCUGCAGCAGGAGAAGAGCAAGGUCAGCAAAGUGGAACGCGAGAAGAACCAGGAGCUGCGGCAGGUGCGCGAGCAUGAGCAGCAUAAGACCGCGGUCUUGCUCACGGAGCUCAAGACAAAGCUGCACGAGGAGAAGAUGAAGGAGCUACAAGCUGUGCGUGAGACGCUGCUGCGGCAGCAUGAGGCCGAGCUGCUCAGGGUCAUCAAGAUCAAGGACAACGAGAACCAGCGGCUGCAGGCACUGCUCAGUGCCCUGCGUGACGGCGGCCCCGAAAAGGUCAAGACCGUGCUGCUCUCCGAGGCCAAGGAGGAGGCCAAGAAGGGGUUCGAGGUGGAGAAGGUCAAGAUGCAGCAGGAGAUCUCCGAGCUCAAGGGCGCCAAGAGGCAGGUGGAGGAGGCGCUGACGCUGGUGAUCCAAGCGGACAAGAUCAAGGCCGCAGAGAUCCGCAGCGUGUACCACCUGCACCAGGAGGAGAUCACCCGCAUCAAGAAGGAGUGCGAGCGGGAGAUCCGCAGGCUGAUGGAGGAGAUAAAAUUUAAAGACAGAGCAGUCUUCGUGCUGGAGAGAGAGUUAGGGGUUCAAGCCGGGCAUGCUCAGAGACUGCAGCUCCAAAAAGAGGCUCUAGAUGAGCAGCUGUCCCAGGUCCGAGAGGCCGACCGGCACCCGGGCAGCCCCAGACGGGAACUUCCUCAUGCAGCUGGUGCAGGAGACGCUUCAGACCACUCGGGAAGCCCUGAACAGCAGUUGGAUGAAAAAGAUGCCCGGCGCUUCCAGCUUAAAAUCGCGGAGUUAAGUGCGAUUAUCCGCAAACUGGAGGACCGCAACGCAUUGCUGUCGGAAGAGAGGAAUGAGCUGUUGAAGCGCGUAAGAGAAGCUGAGAGUCAGUACAAGCCUCUGCUGGAUAAAAACAAGCGCCUUAGUCGGAAGAACGAGGAUUUGUCUCAUGCUUUACGCCGAAUGGAAAACAAGUUAAAAUUUGUCACCCAGGAGAACAUAGAAAUGAGACAGAGAGCCGGAAUCAUACGGAGACCCAGUUCCUUGAAUGACCUUGAUCAAAGUCAGGAUGAGAGAGAAGUCGAUUUCUUGAAGCUUCAGAUUGUGGAGCAGCAAAACCUCAUAGAUGAACUGUCUAAGACCCUUGAGGCUGCCGGCUACGUGAAGAGCGUGUUAGAGCGGGACAAGCUGUUAAGAUUCCGGAAGCAAAGAAAGAAAAUGGCAAAACUUCCCAAGCCGGUGGUUGUGGAGACCUUCUUUGGAUACGACGAAGAGGCUUCCCUGGAAUCCGACGGCUCCUCCAUCUCUUACCAAACAGACAGGACGGACCAGACCCCGUGCACCCCAGACGAUGAUUUGGAGGAGGGCAUGGCCAAGGAGGAGACGGAGCUGAGGUUCCGGCAGCUGACCAUGGAGUACCAGGCCCUGCAGCGCGCCUACGCUUUGUUGCAGGAGCAGGUUGGAGGGACGCUGGACGCAGAGCGAGAAGUUAAGACCCGUGAGCAGCUACAAGCCGAAGUGCAGAGGGCGCAGGCGCGGAUAGAGGACCUGGAGAAGGCCCUGGCGGAGCAGGGGCAGGAUAUGAAGUGGAUUGAAGAGAAGCAGGCACUGUACCGGAGAAAUCAAGAGCUUGUGGAAAAGAUCAAACAAAUGGAGACGGAAGAGGCUCGGCUCAGACACGAGGUGCAGGACGCCAGAGACCAAAACGAGCUGCUGGAGUUCAGGAUCCUGGAGCUUGAGGAGAGGGAGAGGAAGUCACCCGCCAUCAGCUUCCACCACACGCCCUUCGUGGACGGGAAGAGCCCCCUCCAGGUGUACUGCGAGGCCGAAGGCGUGACGGACAUUGUGGUUGCGGAGCUGAUGAAGAAGCUGGACAUCCUGGGCGAUAACGCCGUAAGUAACCUGACCAAUGAGGAGCAGGUGGUUGUCAUACAAGCCAGGACAGUCCUGACCUUGGCCGAAAAGUGGCUCCAGCAGAUUGAGGAGACAGAGGCGGCGCUGCAGCGGAAGAUGGUGGAUCUGGAGAGCGAGAAGGAGCUGUUCAGUAAGCAGAAGGGCUACCUGGACGAGGAGCUGGACUACCGGAAACAGGCCUUGGACCAGGCCAACAAGCACAUCCUGGAGCUGGAAGCCAUGCUGUAUGAUGCCCUGCAGCAGGAGGCCGGGGCUAAGGUGGCUGAGCUGCUGUCAGAGGAGGAGCGCGAGAAGCUCAAGGUGGCCGUGGAGCAGUGGAAGCGCCAGGUCAUGAGUGAGCUGCGUGAGCGGGACGCCCAGAUCCUGCGGGAGCGCAUGGAGCUGCUGCAGCUGGCUCAGCAGAGAAUUAAAGAGUUAGAAGAAAGAAUAGAAGCUCAGAAGAGACAAAUAAAGGAACUGGAGGAAAAGCUUUCAUUCUCUGGUCAUAGUCCGUCUUGGCACCCUGACGUGCCCCACAUUGAAUCGGACCCUUUUCCUCCAGUGGGACCAGAGAGCAGGGACAAAAUGGGACGUCGCGUCUCCAUCCCGAAGACCCAGGGAGAUUUGGUCUCUGCACGCCCGUCCCGUGGAGGAAGAGUGAGAAGGGGCAGUGUGUGGGGCGCGGAGCUGCCGUCCACGUGGGAUGCACCAGAACUAGAACUGGCUCUGCCGACUUCUCGGGGGCUUCUCUGGGAGAGGCCUGGCCUUGGCUGCUGGACCCUGGGUCCCUUCUCCCGGACGGCAGCCCCCAUCCCAUUUCCAGGGAUGUGUAGCAUUCCCUGCCAAGCAGGGGUGAGAACUGCUUCUGUGCAGAAGCACCAGCCGCGGGUCCCCUCCUCUCUCUUGGUUCUCACAGUAGCUGCCACUGGUGUCUGGAGGAAGAUUUUCAGAAACAACAGAGGCUUGGCCUGAUGACAAGAUGAAAGCUGGACGGUGACCUUCAUUCAGGGGAACCUGGAGGCUCCCUGGGAUGGUCCUGGGAGGGCUCCCCGACGCCUCAGGGGCCCCUCCGAUGCUGCAAUGUGUUGCUGGGGUCCUGAGCACCUGCUGGCCAACAGACCCCACAUCCACCCUCGUUCAUCAUCAUCUCUGUGGGGACAGACAAGAGCCGUGGCCGCCGCGGGCCGAGUGGUGCCAUCAACCCUCUGCCUCCCUACUCAACCUGAGACAGGAAGGCCAAGAUCCCGCCCAAGCCACCAGCUGGGAGCACCGCGGGACUGAGCCAAGGAAGGCGUGGGGAGCGUGGUGACAGGAGGUGGGACGAGGGGGCGGAGCUGGCUGGAACAUGGAUGCCAGAGGCUGCCUCCAUAGUGCAUCUCCAGAAGUCACAGAGGCCCUGGGCACCCAGAGCCACCCAGCCUGGAAGCCCCUGCACGGGCCAGCCCUGCAGGCCAUGGACCCCGGCGGGCACCGAAGCCUCACCCCAAGCCUUCGCACACGAGGACAGCCCAGGUGAGGAUGGUGGGCGCAAGAAGGGAACCGCGGGGACGGCCUUUCCCCUCCCGCCCUGUGUGGGGACGCUGCAUGAGCCGUGGACCAAGAGGCUGACAGAGAGGAAGCAGUGCAUUGGUGAAGGCAACGUUAGGUGUGAUUUCCAUUCCUGCUGGGAGAUCCGGGCCGCAGCCCGGGAGCUUCGUCCAGCCUGUGGAUGGAGCCUGACUGGCUGCAGAUGGAACUUCUGUGUCCUCCCACCCUAGGUGGGCUAAGGUUCUGUUCUCAGAGCUGAAUUGACAGGAGGUGUGUGUGUGCGCUCACUUGUGUGCACAAGCAUGCAUUUAUGCGUGUUUUCACGCAACCAGAGGAGCCAUUCGUGGGAUUUAGCCAUUUCGAGGCACCUAGAAGUUGAGGCAGCCAGCUGUGCAGCCAGGUGCGAGGUGUUACCUGCAGCAUUGUAUAAAAGAAGCGACUCAGCUGCCGUAGGGAGGACUGGGUUGUCUGGAAGUAUUAGGCUCAUUUUAUAUUUGUGUCAGAAGAAAUGUCUGACUUUGGGGCAGAUGACACAGUGGCUGCGGACCAGGCAUGGCUCCCUAGGUUGAAAUCAGGGAAAAGCUAAUAGUAUCAGACAGAUAUGCUUUUUCUUUGGUGGCUGCAGGAUUUCUGCUGGAAAAUGCACUAUUAAUCAGCACUUGUCCAAGAAAGACCCAUCCAUUUCUGUUGUCAUUCAAGCCACAGUUCCUGAUUUACUCGGCAAGAUACUGGGCCAGUUCAAUGUCUCUAGCUGAGCCUGACCUCGGGGUUUGCGUCUCGAGUCUGAAAUCCUGUUUAGUCCUCUGUGCAUAGUUUUGUCUCAUUUUAACGACUGCAUCUUCUUGGUACAUUUAUUAUACUCAGAACUGAAUGGCACACAAUAGCCUUGUGUUAAUAAAAGCUACCGUGACGCUGUGGGUGAACCACUGGGUUGAAGUCCGAUGGACUCUACGAUGCAGGCAUCCAGAAAUAUGUUGUAAUUCUACCUGGCUCCCUGCCAGCCUGGCCUCCUCCUCUGGGAGAGCUCCUGGCAUGGUCCCAAUGUGUACCUGCAGGGGAACAACAGCUGCAUGGGCCAGCUGUUUCAGAUCUAAAGAUGUGCAGUGAAACUCACAUUCCCAGAUUCACAUCCCUCAUGUUUAUUUGGGUCAUCAUGGUUUAGCAUGUUGUAUAUAUGUCUGGAGCACUUCAUACACCUCUAUCCACCACAGACACUCUUAAUCACAGUUGUGUAAUGAUAAUAAGGCAAACUAUACAGCAAAGAGAAGCAUGUAAAUAUGUACCAAAUUCUUGUGAAGUUGUAAUUGUUUAUAUGUAAAAAGUAUGUAUAUAGGAAAGGGAGAAGGUGCAAGGAAUGUGCUGAAUAACAUCCAAACUGCAUCGCGUCUCUGCCCCAUUCCUGAAAGCACACAUCUAGUUGGAGCGUCAGUUCCUCUCCUUAGAUAUCAUUGUUUUCACUCGUCUAUCAUAGGCACCUUCUUUACAUCUGAUUACAAUACCCAGCAUUUCAGAACUGGGUUUUUGCCCCCAAAAAGGUAAAUAUGAGCAUUUAUCACUGACUCCUCCUGGUCCAGUGAGCAGCAGCAGAAUUCAAGUAUUUAAAAAUAAGGUGCAUUUCUAAAUUGCAGGCUAUACCUUCUUUUCCAAACCAAUGGGCUAGAGUGAAUUUCCCCCAAGUACUUGGGCUGUCUUACUGCUAGCUCUUCUAACAGGGGAAAUCUGUAUGAAUGCAUCACCCCUAAUAAGGCAAGAGGAAGGACCCUGAAAUGUUGCCAGAAAUGUACUGUUACAUCAACAUUUACAUUAUAUUAACAUCAUCACACUCUGUGUUCAACACACAGAACAACAUAGAUACUCUAGUUUGUCUAAAGUAAAAAUCCACAUAAAUAGCAGAUUCCUUUGUUGACACCAGUGUGUUGUUUACCUUGUGCCCAUGGUCCAGAUUUUGAGCUGGAGAAGGACUAUGGCUGUUCCUUAAAGUCUCUGCCCUUGCAGAAUCUGUAGCCUUCAGGAUACCCCGAGUGCCUUACAGGGCUUGUGAACACCGAUACUAGAAGUCAAAAAGAAGAGAGUGCCCAAGUGUGGGUUUGGAGGCACUGACGCAUUCGCCAACUCACCGUCAUCCCAUCCUUGAAACCCUGAGAGAGAGUGUGUGUUUUAUCACAGUAAUGGAAUUCAGUUUAGGCUCAGGAAACUCAUAUUGUGAAUAUAGGUAUCAAAUCAUAUAUUUGUUUACUGUAUAUUUUUUAAAAAGCUUUAUUGUAAAUUUAUGCAAAAACUAACCGGGCCUGUUUUCUUACGGCGGCAUGCCAGGUAGUGUGUGUAUUCUCCCAGGCACUCCCUUCAUAGUCACUCUCUAUCCACGUGACAUUCUGUUCCAUGCUAAGCAGUAUUCACAGGCCUAACAUAGGUUUGUAUGGUGAUCUAGAAGAUUUUACAAAUAUUUUUGUAUUGUGAUUCCUAUGAUAUAUACCAGAGAAUUUUUUACUCGUUUGUAAAUUAUUGUACAGUUUUAAUAAAAAAUGUUUUAAAUCUUAGA